AAAAUAAUAGGUUUAAUAUGACAACAUUAAAUCACAAAAACGCCACAAUUGAUUCCCAGUAGAAAUAGGAAAAUAUAAAAGACCAGUUUCAUCCAUAGGAAGAAAGAUACUACUUAUUUUACCAAUUAAAGGACUUGAGGCAAAAUAUUUUACAUAUUAGGUACAUAUAAAGUUUUGAUGAAGAAUUUUGAUGAGAAAAAAUAUCAAAAAUGCCACAAAUUACUCUAUAACAUAAAGACAGUUUCAUCAGGAGGAGGAAUGACACAACCAAUAAAAGGAAUAAUUGAAGUCAAAAUAUUGUACAUACGUAUAUAAAACAGGCUUUGUAUCAGUACAAAAUGGAAUCACCAGUUAACCAGACGCGCCAGGUGCUCAAAACAGCGUUACUAAGAAGAAACACGUGAAAGCACGAAACAGACCACCAUCGUGCUCCGUGGCUUUAUCCGCAUUGUUACGCUCCUAUUGGUCUUAGCAAGAUGUUAUAAUAUAAUAUGUUUAGCCUUUAAUAUGUUGAUCCGACCUGUUUAUAAUAUUUAUUCAAAAUUUUAAGUUUAUCCAUGCACUACUGUUUGCGUCUAGCCCGGGGUACCAUAUUUUUUGCUUCGAUUAUUAUUUUGUAAAUCGCACCCAAAAAAUAUUCAAGUGUAUUUUCCUACGUUUUUUUUAUGUAUAGAUUUUAUUUAAGUUGUAUGUUAUUCGUU